GAUGAACGCUGGCGGCGUGCCUAAUACAUGCAAGUCGAGAGAACGGACGAGAAGCUUGCUUCUCUGAUGUUAGCGGCGGACGGGUGAGUAACACGUGGAUAACCUACCUAUAAGACUGGGAUAACUUCGGGAAACCGGAGCUAAUACCGGAUGAUAUUUUGAACCGCAUGGUUCAAAAGUGAAAGACGGUCUUGCUGUCACUUAUAGAUGGAUCCGCGCUGCAUUAGCUAGUUGGUAAGGUAACGGCUUACCAAGGCAACGAUGCAUAGCCGACCUGAGAGGGUGAUCGGCCACACUGGAACUGAGACACGGUCCAGACUCCUACGGGAGGCAGCAGUAGGGAAUCUUCCGCAAUGGGCGAAAGCCUGACGGAGCAACGCCGCGUGAGUGAUGAAGGUCUUCGGAUCGUAAAACUCUGUUAUUAGGGAAGAACAUAUGUGUAAGUAACUGUGCACAUCCUGACGGUACCUAAUCAGAAAGCCACGGCUAACUACGUG
rnacentral:rRNA from 1 species